CAUGCACGCGAACCCAAGCGCGAGGCUGCCGGCCAGGGGAUCCAUUGCGUGGUCGUGGGCAAGGCUGCAAGAACCGAAGCUCGAGGCAAGAGCGUCCGCGAGAGAGUACUGAGCGGCGGCAGCGACUGAUCUGACUCCUCCAUUUCGCUUUCCACCAUGUCGUCCGCGUCCAUGGCAGGCGCCUGCUCCUUCCUGGUGGCAGCAGCGGGGAAGCCGCCGCGCCGGAGCUCCCUCCAGCGGUGCUUCAUGACGCGCGAGGUCCGGCCGUAGACGGCGCGGCCGAUCUCCUUCCAGCGGUCGCCGAGGCGGUAGUGGAGGCGUAGGAGCUCAUCGUCUUCGCGGGCGGUGAAGGGGCGGUGGUAGACGUCGCGGGCGAGGUGGUGGCGCCACCUGUCGCGGCACGACCUGGCUCCUAGCGACCCGGCUCCAGCGGCGGAAGCCGUUCUCCUUGGCGAGGCGCUGCAGCCGCGCGUCCUCCUCCGGCGUCCACGCCGGCAGCAGCUUGAGGCGGACGACGCACCUCGCGCGAGGCGGCGGCGUCAGCGGUGGCGUCGCCAUGAUCACCUCCUGAUCCAUCGCGACCUCUCAA
rnacentral:sRNA from 1 species